rnacentral:lncRNA from 1 species
GGCCGCGCCUCACGCGGGCCGCGGCGGGACGGGCGUUGCGGCCAACGGGACGCAAGGGCUGAGCAGCGAGCUCGCCGCUUUGCUCUUGCAAAAUGUAGGGUCACAGCCCCCGAAAGAGCCGAGGGCCGCUCCCCGCUCUGUGGCCCGAGUUCAAUUCUUAAGUCCUAAUCUUGGUGGCCAGGCUGGUCUUCACGUUGCCGUCAACAGGAGUCGGGAGUACACAGACGUGACUGCAACACAGAAGUAUCUUUUCAAGUCCCAGAAGAAAGAAUCCUCUGUGCGAAUAAAUUCUCAGAAGCAGAAGUUGUGCAACGAAAAUAAUUAUCUCAGGACAUUUUGAAGGGUGAAUUUUCUGGUAAGUCUGUCAUGCUGAUGUGUUCCCUGAAAAGAAGCACCAAGAAGCAUCUCAGCA